rnacentral:rRNA from 1 species
UACAGAGGGGGCAAGCGUUAUUCGGAAUUAUUGGGCGUAAAGGGCGCGUAGGCGGCCUGGCAAGUGGAAGGUGAAAUCCCUCGGCUUAACCGAGGAACUGCCUCCCAAACUGCUUGGCUUGAGACCGGGAGAGGUGAGUGGAAUUCCCAGUGUAGCGGUGAAAUGCGUAGAUAUCAGGAGGAACACCGGUGGCGAAGGCGGGUCUCUGGGCAGUAACUGACGCUGAGGAGCGAAAGCGUGGGGAGCGAACAGG